AGUGACUCAUACUCCCCUCCAGCGCCAUUUUCACCAUCUGCUUUCUUUCCUAUUCUCGUCUUUUCCCUCCUUUUUUCUCUUCCUUCAUAUAUCUCUUCUUCUUCCCUUUCACUUCUUUAUCUUCCCACCGCUCCCUGGUCUUCAAAUCUUUUCUACUUAUUCUUUUCCCCACUGUAUCCUCCACGUUCCUCCCCCUCCUUUUUUUUCACUCACCACUCUGUUUUACGCUGAUCUCCUUCUCAAUGGCCGCUGCUUUGUUGUCACCGCUGUUGCUGCUGCUUGCUGUUUCAGCUCUGUCUCUCUCAACAGUGCAUCCUCCAGUAGAAGCAGGUAUUCGGUAUGUCUCAGUUUUUAUUUUCUGCCUCUUUACAGGGCUUAUUUUCCACAACUUGUUAAGUCUCAGAACGCUGAAGCGCCUCUCAGUUUGCUUUACUGUCCUUUAUAAUCUUAAAUUAGUCCAUACUCCUUUUAUUUUAAACCAACGUUAUUAAUUUCCUUCUUCAGGAGUACUCUUGAUUUUACAGUUUUAGUUUGGAGCAGCCUGGUGCUUUCUCAUUCGGGUCUAAGGAGCAUCUGACGGUCGGGUAUGCGAUCUUUCUGCGCUGAGGUUCUUCCACCUUCCUCCACUUUUUUGUGCCAGAACGGCAGAAAAUCCCUUUAUGCGCUGCUUGGACCUAUUUUCUUCAGUCUGGAACCUCCUCUCAGACCUCUUCAGGGUUCGUGUCACCCUCACUUCCCCAUCCUUUUAGCCCGUACCCAUGACUGGGAGCGCUCUUACUGCAACAGAGCGUUUUCCCCGACCCGUCUCUGAGUGCACCACGCCAGGAAGUCGUGAUUGAAGUUAGCUUUUCCAGUUCUAAAUAUUCAUUUAAUUUGAAAAGCCACUCCUCUUUUGAGGGCAAGAAUUGAAAUUUCCAUUUAGAAAUAAUCACUACCCUGGCUGCCGUAGUUGCAUAUAGAAAAAAUAUUUUUCUCACUUGUGGUAUAUCUUUCCCUAUCAAGCCUAGGAGAUAUGCAUCUGGUUUUUUAACAACUGGGAUUUUCAACCUUUUCUUUAAUUCCUGAUGUAUUAUUUCCCAAAAUUUCUUAAUCUCCUCACAAACCCACUACAUGUGUAUUGUUGUUCCUGCUUCUUUGCCACAUUUCCAACAGAGGAUGGAUUUCAAUUUAUAGAUUUUGGCCAGCUUAACUGGUGUUAAAUACCACCUGUGAAACAUUUUAACAAAAUUUUCUUUAAUUGUAUAAGAGGCAGUAAAUCUUAUAUCCUCUCGCCAGAAUUUCUCCCAUUGCUCUAAGUAUAUCGUAUGUCCGACACCUUUAGCCCAUUUGAUCAUAGUUUCUUUCACUUCUUCAUCCAUCAGUUCCCAAUCAAGUAAAAGAUUAUAUGUUUUAGACAAUAUUUUCUUAUUAUUUUGUAAUAUUGUGGUGCUCAAUUUAGAAUUCUCUUUCACAAAACCUUUUUUUAGAUCUGAUUAAAUACACUUCUUAGCUGCAGGUAUUGCCAUCUAUCUGACACAUAUUGUUGUAUCUCCUCAUAGGGUUUUAGUCUGAGUUUUCCUUGAUCUUCCUCCAGUAGUAGUCUAUAUGAUGCCCGGUUUGUUCUCAUAUUAAGUUUUUUCAUGGCAUGCACCUCCAGCGGCGAAAGCCACCAGGGGGUCUGUGGUUCCAGUUGCAAUUUAUAUUUGUUCCAGACUUUAUAUAAUGCAUUCCUGAGUAAAUGAUUUGUAAAAUCUUUAUUGACUUUUGCCUUCUCGUAAUUGAGAUAGGCAUGCCAUCCAUAUCUGUUAAAACUUUUAAGAUCUAAGAUGUUAGCUUUCUCCAGUAUAAUCCAAUCUUUUACCCAUAUUAAACAUUCUGCCUCGUAGUAUAAUUUUAAAUUUGGCAGUGCUAGCCCUCCCCUCUCUAUUUUAUUUGUCAAAAGCUUAUAUUUUAUCUGAGGUUUCUUGCCUUGCUAAAUGAAUCUCGUUAUAUCUUUCCUCCAUUCUUUACCCUAUUCAUCUUAAAAUCGGACACCUUACCAAAAUGAUUUAUUAUCUCUAUUGCUUUAGCAAUGCUUGUUUCUGUUCUUCCAUUGUUAAAAUAAUGUCAUCCACGAAGGUUCUGAUUUUAAAAACCUCUUUACCUACUGUAAUUCCUUUGAUCUCUUUAUCUUCUCUUAUUUCUGAAAUCAAAAUCUCUAAUGUCAGUAUAAAAAGCAGAGGUGAGAGAGGGCACCCUUGUCUGGUGCCCCUUUCCACUGAAAAACAUUCGGUCUUGACACUGUUAAUUAUUAAACUAGCUUGCUGCUUCUCAUAUAUUGCUUUUAUACCUGUGCAGUAGUAUUCCCCCAAUGGUGCUGUUUCCAGUACUCUCUGUAGAAAUGCACUUGAUAAAUUAUUGAAAGCCUUCUCAGCGUCUAUUAACAUAAACGCUGCUCUUUUGCUUGGCCUUAGCUCCAAAUAUUCCAAUAAAUCAAUUACCACUCUCGUAUUUGUUUUUAUAUGUCAGUUUGGGAGAAAUCCCGGUUGAUGUUGGUUUAUGAUAUCCUGUAACACAAUUGUCAAUCUGCUUGCUAGGAUACCUGCAAACAGUUUAUAAUCAUGAAAUGGGUCUGUAAUUGGUUACUGAUUCUCUCUCUGUACCUUGUUUGUGGAUUAGCGUGAUGUUUGCUUCCUGCCAUGACUUUGGGAUCUUGCCUUCUCGCAGAAUAUUGUUCAUUAAGGUUUUUAGCGGUAGUAUAAUAACAUCCUCUAACUUUUUGUAAUGAAUCGCAGGUAGUCUGUCUGGGCCUGGGGCUUUUCCAAGUUUCAGAUUAGUGAUUACUUGAUGAAGUUCCAUUAUUGAAAUUGGUGCAUUUAGUUGUUCCAUUUGAUUUUCAUUUAUUUUUGGUUUUGGUUUCCCCUUUAAAUAAUUUAUUAUUUCUUGUUCCGUUUCUAUAUAAUUUGGUAAAGUAAUUUAUGAAGCAUUUAUUUAUCCUUUCUUCCGUAUCUAAUGUCUUUCCUUCAUGGAUUACUUUAUUUAUUUGCCUUUCUCUUUGUUUUUUCUUUAUCUGUCAUGCAAGAAGCUUACCUGGUCUAUUACCUAAUUCAAAUGACUUUUGUUUCAUCCAUUUAAUGUUCUCCAUCUCAUUGCUUAAUAAUGUUGAGAGCUGUGCUUGCAAUAUUUUGAUAUAAAGUCACAUCUUUUGGUGAUUUUGCCAAUAAUUUCUCUUGUGCUAUAUCUUGUUGAAUUUGGUUUACCUUGGAUUUUCUCAUUCUUUUUUGUAUCAUAUUUUGCUGUAUAUAAAAACCUCUUAUAAAAGCC